rnacentral:rRNA from 1 species
GACGAACGCUGGCGGCGUGCUUAACACAUGCAAGUCGAACGGAAAGGCCCUGCUUUUGUGGGGUGCUCGAGUGGCGAACGGGUGAGUAACACGUGAGUAACCUGCCCUUGACUUUGGGAUAACUUCAGGAAACUGGGGCUAAUACCGGAUAGGAGCUCCUGCUGCAUGGUGGGGGUUGGAAAGUUUCGGCGGUUGGGGAUGGACUCGCGGCUUAUCAGCUUGUUGGUGGGGUAGUGGAUUACCAAGGCUUUGACGGGUAGCCGGCCUGAGAGGGUGACCGGCCACACUGGGAUUGAGAUACGGCCCGGACUCCUACGGGAGGCAGCGGUGGAGAAUAUUGCACAAUGGGCGGGAGCCUGAUGCGGCAACGCCGCGUGCGGGAUGACGGGCUUCGGGUUGUGAACCGCUUUCGCCUGUGACGAAGCGUGAGUGACGGUAAUGGGUGAAGAAGCACCGGCUAACUACGUG